rnacentral:rRNA from 1 species
UACGGAGGGUGCGAGCGUUAAUCGGAAUUACUGGGCGUAAAGCGCGCGUAGGCGGUGGUGUGAGUCGGGCGUGAAAGCCCCGGGCUUAACCUGGGAAUUGCGUUCGAUACCGCAUCGCUAGAGUCUGGGAGAGGGAAGGGGAAUUCCGGGUGUAGCGGUGAAAUGCGUAGAUAUCCGGAGGAACACCAGUGGCGAAGGCGCCUUCCUGGCCUAAGACUGACGCUGAGGUGCGAAAGCGUGGGGAGCAAACAGG